rnacentral:rRNA from 1 species
UACGUAGGGUGCAAGCGUUAAUCGGAAUUACUGGGCGUAAAGCGUACGCAGGCGGCUUUGCAAGACAGGUGUGAAAUCCCCGGGCCUAACCUGGGAACUGCAUUUGUGACUGCAUCGCUGGAGUGCGGCAGAGGGGAUGGAAUUCCGCGUGUAGCAGUGAAAUGCGUAGAUAUGCGGAGGAACACCGAUGGCGAAGGCAAUCCCCUGGGCCUGCACUGACGCUCAUGCACGAAAGCGUGGGGAGCAAACAGG